rnacentral:rRNA from 1 species
GGUUAAGCGACUAAGCGUACACGGUGGAUGCCCUGGCAGUCAGAGGCGAUGAAGGACGUGCUAAUCUGCGAUAAGCGUCGGUAAGGUGAUAUGAACCGUUAUAACCGGCGAUUUCCGAAUGGGGAAACCCAGUGUGAUUCGUCACACUAUCAUUAACUGAAUCCAUAGGUUAAUGAGGCGAACCGGGGGAACUGAAACAUCUAAGUACCCCGAGGAAAAGAAAUCAACCGAGAUUCCCCCAGUAGCGGCGAGCGAACGGGGAGCAGCCCAGAGCCUGAAUCAGUGUGUGUGUUAGUGGAAGCGUCUGGAAAGGCGCGCGAUACAGGGUGACAGCCCCGUACACAAAAAUGCACAUACUGUGAGCUCGAUGAGUAGGGCGGGACACGUGGUAUCCUGUCUGAAUAUGGGGGGACCAUCCUCCAAGGCUAAAUACUCCUGACUGACCGAUAGUGAACCAGUACCGUGAGGGAAAGGCGAAAAGAACCCCGGCGAGGGGAGUGAAAAAGAACCUGAAACCGUGUACGUACAAGCAGUGGGAGCACAGAGCAAUCUGUGUGACUGCGUACCUUUUGUAUAAUGGGUCAGCGACUUAUAUUCUGUAGCAAGGUUAACCGAAUAGGGGAGCCGAAGGGAAACCGAGUCUUAACUGGGCGUUAAGUUGCAGGGUAUAGACCCGAAACCCGGUGAUCUAGCCAUGGGCAGGUUGAAGGUUGGGUAACACUAACUGGAGGACCGAACCGACUAAUGUUGAAAAAUUAGCGGAUGACUUGUGGCUGGGGGUGAAAGGCCAAUCAAACCGGGAGAUAGCUGGUUCUCCCCGAAAGCUAUUUAGGUAGCGCCUCGUGAAUUCAUCUCCGGGGGUAGAGCACUGUUUCGGCAAGGGGGUCAUCCCGACUUACCAACCCGAUGCAAACUACGAAUACCGGAGAAUGUUAUCACGGGAGACACACGGCGGGUGCUAACGUCCGUCGUGAAGAGGGAAACAACCCAGACCGCCAGCUAAGGUCCCAAAGUCAUGGUUAAGUGGGAAACGAUGUGGGAAGGCCCAGACAGCCAGGAUGUUGGCUUAGAAGCAGCCAUCAUUUAAAGAAAGCGUAAUAGCUCACUGGUCGAGUCGGCCUGCGCGGAAGAUGUAACGGGGCUAAACCAUGCACCGAAGCUGCGGCAGCGACGCUGAUGCGUUGUUGGGUAGGGGAGCGUUCUGUAAGCCUGCGAAGGUGUGCUGUGAGGCAUGCUGGAGGUAUCAGAAGUGCGAAUGCUGACAUAAGUAACGAUAAAGCGGGUGAAAAGCCCGCUCGCCGGAAGACCAAGGGUUCCUGUCCAACGUUAAUCGGGGCAGGGUGAGUCGACCCCUAAGGCGAGGCCGAAAGGCGUAGUCGAUGGGAAACAGGUUAAUAUUCCUGUACUUGGUGUUACUGCGAAGGGGGGACGGAGAAGGCUAUGUUGGCCGGGCGACGGUUGUCCCGGUUUAAGCGUGUAGGCUGGUUUUCCAGGCAAAUCCGGAAAAUCAAGGCUGAGGCGUGAUGACGAGGCACUACGGUGCUGAAGCAACAAAUGCCCUGCUUCCAGGAAAAGCCUCUAAGCAUCAGGUAACAUCAAAUCGUACCCCAAACCGACACAGGUGGUCAGGUAGAGAAUACCAAGGCGCUUGAGAGAACUCGGGUGAAGGAACUAGGCAAAAUGGUGCCGUAACUUCGGGAGAAGGCACGCUGAUAUGUAGGUGAAGUCCCUCGCGGAUGGAGCUGAAAUCAGUCGAAGAUACCAGCUGGCUGCAACUGUUUAUUAAAAACACAGCACUGUGCAAACACGAAAGUGGACGUAUACGGUGUGACGCCUGCCCGGUGCCGGAAGGUUAAUUGAUGGGGUUAGCGCAAGCGAAGCUCUUGAUCGAAGCCCCGGUAAACGGCGGCCGUAACUAUAACGGUCCUAAGGUAGCGAAAUUCCUUGUCGGGUAAGUUCCGACCUGCACGAAUGGCGUAAUGAUGGCCAGGCUGUCUCCACCCGAGACUCAGUGAAAUUGAACUCGCUGUGAAGAUGCAGUGUACCCGCGGCAAGACGGAAAGACCCCGUGAACCUUUACUAUAGCUUGACACUGAACAUUGAGCCUUGAUGUGUAGGAUAGGUGGGAGGCUUUGAAGUGUGGACGCCAGUCUGCAUGGAGCCGACCUUGAAAUACCACCCUUUAAUGUUUGAUGUUCUAACGUGGACCCGUAAUCCGGGUUGCGGACAGUGUCUGGUGGGUAGUUUGACUGGGGCGGUCUCCUCCUAAAGAGUAACGGAGGAGCACGAAGGUUGGCUAAUCCUGGUCGGACAUCAGGAGGUUAGUGCAAUGGCAUAAGCCAGCUUGACUGCGAGCGUGACGGCGCGAGCAGGUGCGAAAGCAGGUCAUAGUGAUCCGGUGGUUCUGAAUGGAAGGGCCAUCGCUCAACGGAUAAAAGGUACUCCGGGGAUAACAGGCUGAUACCGCCCAAGAGUUCAUAUCGACGGCGGUGUUUGGCACCUCGAUGUCGGCUCAUCACAUCCUGGGGCUGAAGUAGGUCCCAAGGGUAUGGCUGUUCGCCAUUUAAAGUGGUACGCGAGCUGGGUUUAGAACGUCGUGAGACAGUUCGGUCCCUAUCUGCCGUGGGCGCUGGAGAAUUGAGGGGGGCUGCUCCUAGUACGAGAGGACCGGAGUGGACGCAUCACUGGUGUUCGGGUUGUCAUGCCAAUGGCACUGCCCGGUAGCUAAAUGCGGAAGAGAUAAGUGCUGAAAGCAUCUAAGCACGAAACUUGCCCCGAGAUGAGUUCUCCCUGACUCCUUGAGAGUCCUGAAGGAACGUUGAAGACGACGACGUUGAUAGGCCGGGUGUGUAAGCGCAGCGAUGCGUUGAGCUAACCGGUACUAAUGAACCGUGAGGCUUAACCUU